rnacentral:rRNA from 1 species
CUAAGUGAACACUAGAAAGGAUGUGGCGGGUCAUUGACAACCAGGAAGUUGGCUUAGAAGCAGCCAUCUUUUAAAGAAAGCGUAAUAGCUCACUGGUCGAGACAAGCCGCGCCGAAAAUGUAACGGGGCUAAGCCUAGCACCGAAGCCACGGGUCACACUCGUUAUGACGGGUGUGGCGGUAGGGGAGCGUUGAAGUUGCUGCGAAGCACGAUGGUAAUGGCGUGUGGAGCGACUUCAAGUGCUGAUGCCGAAAUGAGUAGCGAUAAGGGAAGUGAGAAUCUUCCCCCCCGUAAGCGUAAGGUUCCUGGGUCAAGUCAAUCUUCCCAGGGUUAGCCGGGUCCUAAGUCGAGCCCGAAAGGGGUAGAUGAUGGCAAGCAGGUUAAUAUUCCUGCGCUGGCUGUUAGACGUCGAACUAAGGGGUGACGGAGAAAGCUAACUGGGCCAAAUAGUGGUUGCGUUGGUCUAAGGUCGUAGGAGUGUCUCGUACGAAUAAAGGCGGGGGCAGGUUAUCUCCGAGAGCCGAAUGCGAGCGCGUCA